CCGAAGCUACGGCAUCAGUAAUGAUGGGUAGGGGAGCUUCCCAUACGGGUUGAAGCAUGACCGUAAGGACAUGUGGACAGUAUGGGAGUGAGAAUGUUGGCAUGAGUAGCGAGAUGUGGGUGGGAAUCCCACAGGCCGUAAACCCAAGGUUUCCAGGGGAAGGUUCGUCCACCCUGGGUUAGUCGGGACCUAAGCUGAGGCCGAAAGGCGUAGGUGAUGGACAACAGGUUGAUAUUCCUGUACUACCGAUAACCGUUUGAGAGAAGGGAUGACACAGUAGGAUAAGCUAAGCACACUGUUGGUUAUGUGUGCCCAAGCAUUGAGGCAGUCAAAGUAGGCAAAUCCGCUUUGAUAAUGCUGGG
rnacentral:rRNA from 1 species